GGGUAGAGGCGCGGCAAAAAUCAGUACCGAAAGAAACACUCCGGGAAGAGUUUUCGGGAAAGGGUUUGCCGCCGAAGCCGGAGAAGGGUCCCGCUUUCUCCGAGCUGGGCCGCAGCAGAAGAUGCUGCGGACUGUCACAAUGUUUUUGUGGAGCGCUAUCGUG
rnacentral:ncRNA from 1 species